UACGAAGGGGGCUAGCGUUGCUCGGAUUCAUUGGGCGUAAAGGGUGCGUAGGCGGCGCGGUAAGUCGGGUGUGAAAUCUCGGAGCUUAACUCCGAAACUGCAUUCGAUACUGCGGUGCUUGAGGACUGGAGAGGAGACUGGAAUUCAUGGUGUAGCAGUGAAAUGCGUAGAGAUCAUGAGGAAGACCAGUGGCGAAGGCGGGUCUCUGGACAGUUCCUGACACUGAGGCACGAAGGCCAGGGGAGCAAACGGG
rnacentral:rRNA from 1 species